AGUGAACGCUGGCGGUAGGCCUAACACAUGCAAGUCGAACGGCAGCACAGUAAGAGCUUGCUCUUACGGGUGGCGAGUGGCGGACGGGUGAGGAAUACAUCGGAAUCUACUUUUUCGUGGGGGAUAACGUAGGGAAACUUACGCUAAUACCGCAUACGACCUACGGGUGAAAGCAGGGGAUCUUCGGACCUUGCGCGAUUGAAUGAGCCGAUGUCGGAUUAGCUAGUUGGCGGGGUAAAGGCCCACCAAGACGACGAUCCGUAGCUGGUCUGAGAGGAUGAUCAGCCACACUGGAACUGAGACACGGUCCAGACUCCUACGGGAGGCAGCAGUGGGGAAUAUUGGACAAUGGGCGCAAGCCUGAUCCAGCCAUACCGCGUGGGUGAAGGAGGCCUUCGGGUUGUAAAGCCCUUUUGUUGGGAAAGAAAAGCAGCAGGUUAAUACCCCGCUGUUCUGACGGUACCCAAAGAAUAAGCACCGGCUAACUUCGUG
rnacentral:rRNA from 1 species